CGUGCUGCUGUGUCCGGACUCCGUCAACUCCAGCUUACCAUGGAUCCCAACUGCUUCCUCGCCACCGGCGAAUCCUGCACCUGCGCCGGCUCCUGCCAAUGCAAAGAGUGCAAAUGCACCUCCUGCAAGAAGAGCUGCUGCUCCUGCUGCCCCGCGGGCUGCGCCAAGUGAGCCCAGGACUGCGUCUACAAAGGGGCAUCGGACAAGUGCAGCUGCUGCGCCUGA